UACGGGGGGGGCAAGCGUUGUUCGGAAUUACUGGGCGUAAAGGGCUCGUAGGCGGCCAACUAAGUCGGAUGUGAAAUCCCCAGGCUUAACCUGGGAACUGCAUCCGAUACUGGAUGGCUUGAAUUCGGGAGAGGGAUGCAGAAUUCCAGGUGUAGCGGUGAAAUGCGUAGAUAUCUGGAGGAAUACCGGUGGCGAAGGCAGCCCCCUGGGCUAACACUGACGCUCAUGCACGAAAGCGUGGGGAGCAAACAGG
rnacentral:rRNA from 1 species